CCCACUGUGCCACCGUAGGUUCCCCUAAAUUCCCUGCCGUCCCCGCAAGGCACAGAGGCCAGACUCCUCCUGUGUGCGGGUUAAUGAUUACAAUCCAGCCGGGCCACAGCCGUGGUGGUUACUGAUUAAGCCGUUUUCAGAGCGAAACGACGCUUCCAGCGGGAGUGGAGCGUUCUUGCGUGAAAGCUGGGGGCCGGCAGAUUGUAUUAGCAUGAACUGUAGAAUUAUAAUAUUUCAAAUAGGGUUGUAAUUACACCACAGAAGGAAGAAAGGCAGCUGAGCCUCAAACUUGAUCGUAUAAACUCAGCCUUCUUGUCAGUGGCGCUCUCGUAUUCCAUGCCUGCAAACCGCAAAACUCCGCUCCUGCGAUUGCAGUGUGGGAUCUGAUGCUGUGCCGCUUGGUUCUUUCUGUCACUGGACGUCUGUGGUUCCAGACCCAAAUCUGACAGGUGAAAUUUCACAGAUGCAUCCUCUCCACAUGUGGACUCUGGAACUAUUUCCCUGGUCUCCUGUCAAUCACCAGGGCAUAAAGAGCUAAUUAAGGACAAACUGUGAGCAGCAGCACAAACCCAGAGUACAACGUGGGAAGGAUGGAGCUGUUCAACGGAACGAGAGGGCAACUUCAACUGCAUGAGACUGCAGGAAGCCUGGCAGAGCACGGUGUGCGGCAGACAGAGCUGCUGACUCCUGGACGCGCACAAUGAAUGACCAUACGUCCUCAAGCUGGAUUCAGCCCUCCUUAAACUUUGCCAGUUUGAUUCUACCCAUGCAGCCAUGUUUGUUUCUGAGCUGUUUAAAAAAUAAGCCGUGGGCACAGCACUGACUGGACACCUCUGUGACCCGGGCUCACAGUAGUGACUGGAGAUACAGAAACAGCUGCUGUCCCUCAGGACACCUGUGGAGAGGGACAGAAAUGGGCCUACAGUCCUG